rnacentral:rRNA from 1 species
CCUACGGGAGGCAGCAGUGAGGAAUAUUGGUCAAUGGCCGGAAGGCUGAACCAGCCAAGCCGCGUGAAGGACGAAGGUGCCAAGCAUUGUAAACUUCUUUUGUCAAGGGACAAAAUCAGGCUCGAGAGCCUGACCGAGGGUACUUGAAGAAAAAGCAUCGGCUAACUCCGUGCCAGCAGCCGCGGUAAUACGGAGGAUGCGAGCGUUAUCCGGAUUUAUUGGGUUUAAAGGGUGCGUAGGCGGGCUGUUAAGUCAGCGGUAAAAGCCCGGGGCUCAACCCCGGCGAGCCGUUGAAACUGGCUGUCUUGAGAUGUCGAGAGGUAUGCGGAAUGCGCAGUGUAGCGGUGAAAUGCUUAGAUAUGGCGCAGAACUCCGAUUGCGAAGGCAGCAUACUGGCGGCGAUCUGACGCUGAGGCACGAAAGCGUGGGUAUCGAACAGGAUUAGAUACCCCUGUAGUC